rnacentral:rRNA from 1 species
AUAGCAUGUCAGAAGGCAGACCCGGAGAACUGAAACAUCUUAGUACCCGGAGGAAGAGAAAGAAAAAUCGAUUCCCUGAGUAGCGGCGAGCGAAACGGGAAGAGCCCAAACCAACAAGCUUGCUUGUUGGGGUUGUAGGACACUCUAUACGGAGUUACAAAAGAACAUGUUAGACGAAUCAUCUGGAAAGAUGAAUCAAAGAAGGUAAUAAUCCUGUAGUCGAAAACAUAUUCUCUCUUGAGUGGAUCCUGAGUACGACGGAGCACGUGAAAUUCCGUCGGAAUCUGGGAGGACCAUCUCCUAAGGCUAAAUACUCUCUAGUGACCGAUAGUGAACCAGUACCGUGAGGGAAAGGUGAAAAGUACCCCGGAAGGGGAGUGAAAGAGAACUUGAAACCGUGUGCUUACAAGUAGUCAGAGCCCGUUAAUGGGUGAUGGCGUGCCUUUUGUAGAAUGAACCGGCGAGUUACGAUCUGAUGCAAGGUUAAGCAGCAAAUGUGGAGCCGCAGCGAAAGCGAGUCUGAAUAGGGCGUUGAGUAUUUGGUCGUAGACCCGAAACCAGGUGAUCUACCCUUGGUCAGGUUGAAGUUCAGGUAACACUGAAUGGAGGACCGAACCGACUUACGUUGAAAAGUGAGCGGAUGAACUGAGGGUAGCGGAGAAAUUCCAAUCGAACUUGGAGAUAGCUGGUUCUCUCCGAAAUAGCUUUAGGGCUAGCCUCAAGUGAUGAUUAUUGGAGGUAGAGCACUGUUUGGACGAGGGGCCCCUCUCGGGUUACCGAAUUCAGACAAACUCCGAAUGCCAAUUAAUUUAACUUGGGAGUCAGAACAUGGGUGAUAAGGUCCGUGUUCGAAAGGGAAACAGCCCAGACCACCAGCUAAGGUCCCAAAAUAUAUGUUAAGUGGAAAAGGAUGUGGCGUUGCCCAGACAACUAGGAUGUUGGCUUAGAAGCAGCCAUCAUUUAAAGAGUGCGUAAUAGCUCACUAGUCGAGUGACACUGCGCCGAAAAUGUACCGGGGCUAAACAUAUUACCGAAGCUGUGGAUUGUCCUUUGGACAAUGGUAGGAGAGCGUUCUAAGGGCGUCGAAGCAUGAUCGCAAGGACAUGUGGAGCGCUUAGAAGUGAGAAUGCCGGUGUGAGUAGCGAAAGACGGGUGAGAAUCCCGUCCACCGAUUGACUAAGGUUUCCAGAGGAAGGCUCGUCCGCUCUGGGUUAGUCGGGUCCUAAGCUGAGGCCGACAGGCGUAGGCGAUGGAUAACAGGUUGAUAUUCCUGUACCACCUAGUAUCGUUUUAAUCGAUGGGGGGACGCAGUAGGAUAGGCGAAGCGUGCUGUUGGAGUGCACGUCCAAGCAGUAAGGCUGAGUGUUAGGCAAAUCCGGCACUCAUAAGGCUGAGCUGUGAUGGGGAGAGGAAAUUGUUUCCUCGAGUCGUUGAUUUCACACUGCCGAGAAAAGCCUCUAGAUAGAUAACAGGUGCCCGUACCGCAAACCGACACAGGUAGUCAAGAUGAGAAUUCUAAGGUGAGCGAGCGAACUCUCGUUAAGGAACUCGGCAAAAUGACCCCGUAACUUCGGGAGAAGGGGUGCUCUUUAGGGUUCACGCCCAGAAGAGCCGCAGUGAAUAGGCCCAAGCGACUGUUUAUCAAAAACACAGGUCUCUGCUAAACCGUAAGGUGAUGUAUAGGGGCUGACGCCUGCCCGGUGCUGGAAGGUUAAGAGGAGUGGUUAGCUUCUGCGAAGCUACGAAUCAAAGCCCCAGUAAACGGCGGCCGUAACUAUAACGGUCCUAAGGUAGCGAAAUUCCUUGUCGGGUAAGUUCCGACCCGCACGAAAGGCGUAACGAUUUGGGCACUGUCUCAACGAGAGA